ACUAGAACAGUUCUGUGGCAUGAGGCAACAUUGAAGUAGCUUGUUAUUAACACUUUUGUUGCCGCUUGCACAUUUGCAAAGCAACACAUAGCAGUAUGGCGCAAAGGCAGAGAAUUGAAGGAACACAGUGAACACUGAUGCCUGUUUGUCAGACAUGCCACCUAUGGCCAGCGUGAGUCGGAGGUAGACGCUAUAAUAAUAACAACAUGCUCGGUGUAAACUUUGUUCUUAGCUGGUAUGCAAAUCAAAACAUUCUUGAGGUUUUCGUGCAACUCAGAUGUCUGAUGUUACAGUAUUGUUGCUUGAGGUGACAAUUAGAUAUGGAGUAUAAAUUUCUAUGCCACUACAGCAGUGAC
rnacentral:lncRNA from 1 species